UGGGGAAUUUUGGACAAUGGGGGAAACCCUGAUCCAGCCAUCCCGCGUGUGCGAUGAAGGCCUUCGGGUUGUAAAGCACUUUUGGCAGGAAAGAAACGUCAUGGGUUAAUACCCCGUGAAACUGACGGUACCUGCAGAAUAAGCACCGGCUAACUACGUGCCAGCAGCCGCGGUAAUACGUAGGGUGCAAGCGUUAAUCGGAAUUACUGGGCGUAAAGCGUGCGCAGGCGGUUCGGAAAGAAAGAUGUGAAAUCCCAGAGCUCAACUUUGGAACUGCAUUUUUAACUACCGUGCUAGAGUGUGUCAGAGGGAGGUGGAAUGCCGCGUGUAGCAGUGAAAUGCGUAGAUGUGCGGAGGAACACCGAUGGCGAAGGCAGGCUCCUGGGAUAACACUGACGCUCAUGCACGAAAGCGUGGGGAGCAAACAGG
rnacentral:rRNA from 1 species